rnacentral:rRNA from 1 species
UACCAGCUCUUCGAGUGGUGUGGAUGUUUAUUGGGCCUAAAGCAUCCGUAGCUGGCUGGGCAAGUCCCCUGUUAAAUCCACCGAUUUAAUCGUUGGAGUGCGGGGGGAUACUGUUCGGCUAGGGGACGGGAGGGGCAGACGGUAUCUUCGGGGUAGGGGUGAAAUCCUAUAAUCCCGGGAAGACCACCAGUGGCGAAGGCUGUCUGCUAGAACGCGCCCGACGGUGAGGGAUGAAAGCUGGGGGAGCGAACCGGAUUAGAUACCCGGGUAGUCCCAGCUGUAAACGAUGCAGGCUAGGUGUUUGGGCGGCCACGUGCCGCUCUAGUGCCGCAGGGAAGCCGUUAAGCCUGCCGCCUGGGGAGUACGGCCGCAAGGCUAGAAACUUAAAGGAAUUGGCGGGGGAGCACCACAAGGGGUGAAGCUUGCGGUUU